AAAUUGAAGAGUUUGAUCAUGGCUCAGAUUGAACGCUGGCGGCAGGCCUAACACAUGCAAGUCGAACGGUAACAGGAAGCAGCUUGCUGCUUCGCUGACGAGUGGCGGACGGGUGAGUAAUGUCUGGGAAACUGCCUGAUGGAGGGGGAUAACUACUGGAAACGGUAGCUAAUACCGCAUAACGUCGCAAGACCAAAGAGGGGGACCUUCGGGCCUCUUGCCAUCGGAUGUGCCCAGAUGGGAUUAGCUAGUAGGUGGGGUAACGGCUCACCUAGGCGACGAUCCCUAGCUGGUCUGAGAGGAUGACCAGCCACACUGGAACUGAGACACGGUCCAGACUCCUACGGGAGGCAGCAGUGGGGAAUAUUGCACAAUGGGCGCAAGCCUGAUGCAGCCAUGCCGCGUGUAUGAAGAAGGCCUUCGGGUUGUAAAGUACUUUCAGCGGGGAGGAAGGCGAUAAGGUUAAUAACCUUGUC
rnacentral:rRNA from 1 species